rnacentral:rRNA from 1 species
GAUGAACGCUGGCGGCGUGCCUAAUACAUGCAAGUCGAGCGAACGGACGAUAAGCUUGCUUUUCUGAUGUUAGCGGCGGACGGGCGAGUAACACGUGGAUAACCUACUUCUAAUACUGGGAUAACUUCGGGAAACCGGAGCUACUACCGGAUAAUAUUUUGAACCGCUUGGUUCAAAAGUGAAAGACGCUCUUGCUGUCACUUAUAGAUGGAUCCGCGCUGCAUUAGCUAGUUGGUAAGGUAACGGCUUACCAAGGCAACGAUGCAUAGCCGACCUGAGAGGAUGAUCAGCCACACUGGAACUGAGACACGGUCCAGACUCCUACGGGAGGCAGCAGUAGGGAAUAUUGCGCAAAGGGCGAAAGCCUGACGGAGCAAUGCCGCGUGAGUGAAGAAGGUCUUCGGAUCGUAAAGCUCUGUUAUUAGGGAAGAACAGAUGUGUAAUAAACUGUGGACGUCUUGACGGUACCUAAUGAGAAAGCAACGGCUAACUACGUG